rnacentral:rRNA from 1 species
GACAGAGGUGCCAAGCGUUAGGCGGAAUCACUGGGCUUAAAGCGUGUGUAGGUGGAUUUGUAAGUACCUUGUGAAAUCCCUCAGCUCAACUGUGGAACUGCUCGGUAUACUGCGAAUCUUGAGCCACUUAGGGGCAACCGGAACAAAUGGUGGAGCGGUGAAAUGCGUAGAUAUCAUUUGGAACGCCAAUGGUGAAAACAGGUUGCCGGGAGUGUGCUGACACUGAGACACGAAAGCCAGGGGAGCGAACGGG